rnacentral:rRNA from 1 species
AGUGAACGCUGGCGGUAGGCCUAACACAUGCAAGUCGAACGGCAGCACAGUAAGAGCUUGCUCUUACGGGUGGCGAGUGGCGGACGGGUGAGGAAUACAUCGGAAUCUACUUUUUCGUGGGGGAUAACGUAGGGAAACUUACGCUAAUACCGCAUACGACCUACGGGUGAAAGCAGGGGAUCUUCGGACCUUGCGCGAUUGGAUGAGCCGAUGUCGGAUUAGCUAGUUGGCGGGGUAAAGGCCCACCAAGGCGACGAUCCGUAGCUGGUCUGAGAGGAUGAUCAGCCACACUGGAACUGAGACACGGUCCAGACUCCUACGGGAGGCAGCAGUGGGGAAUAUUGGACAAUGGGCGCAAGCCUGAUCCAGCCAUACCGCGUGGGUGAAGAAGGCCUUCGGGUUGUAAAGCCCUUUUGUUGGGAAAGAAAAGCAGCAGGUUAAUACCCCGCUGUUCUGACGGUACCCAAAGAAUAAGCGCCGGCUAACUUCGUG